rnacentral:misc_RNA from 1 species
AAUUUUUUUUUUUUUUGAGAAAUUCUAGGGAUUUUUAUGAUUAUGAUUUGCAGUUGUAUUUUCUUUUUUUCUCCCCUUGUGUUUUAGUAUUUGUUAAGUGGCUUUGCUGAAUGCCUAAUUUUUAUCUUUGUUUGGUUCUUUGGUAUCAUCGGCCGCUCAGCUGUUGUGAUCACAUAUAUGUUCUGUUUGACAGGCCAUAAAUAAUUUAGAAUGCACAAGAAAAUCAUUGCUUUUUUGAGCAUUAUACUUUAUUGCAUUCAAUCCUUCAUAUUGAACUCUAUUAUUUUUCCCCCCUAUGAAGGGUGAAUUCUGAGAAAUUACAU